CAAUGCAACGAUUACUUAUUAACAGAUCUCAGAAUAAAACCAGGCUCCCUGCAACUUGUUUGACAAGCACGCAUUGUUGAAAAUGAAAACAAUGUUGUCCUUCCUUUUGCUCAUUUCUAUUCCAAUAUUAAUAUCUUCUGAAUUCAUUUUAACCGAAUCAGAGCAGCCUCAGAAUAAUUAUGUCGAUCCUCGGACAAAUAUUCUUCGUGCGAGAACAUUGAAGAAGAGAAGUAUCGACACUCAUGGCACAGAA